rnacentral:rRNA from 1 species
ACGAACGCUGGCGGCGUGCUUCACACAUGCCAGUCGAACGGAAAGGCCCCUUUGGGGGUACUCGAGUGGCGAACGGGUGAGUAACACGUGAGUAACCUGCCCUUGACUUCGGGAUAACUUCAGGAAACUGGGGCUAAUACCGGAUAGGAAUCCUUGCUGCAUGGUGGGGGUUGGAAAGCUUCGGCGGUUUUGGAUGGACUCGCGGCUUAUCAGCUUGUUGGUGGGGUAGUGGCUUACCAAGGCUUUGACGGGUAGCCGGCCUGAGAGGGCGACCGGCCACAUUGGGACUGAGAUACGGCCCAGACUCCUACGGGAGGCAGCAGGGGGGAAUAUUGCACAAUGGGCGGAAGCCUGAUGCAGCAACGCCGCGUGCGGGAUGACGGCCUUCGGGUUGUAAACCGCUUUCAGCAGGGGCGAAGCUUGUGGUGACGGUACCUGCAGAAGAAGCACCGGCUAACUACGUG